rnacentral:lncRNA from 1 species
CAAGCAAUGGAAAAGCUAUAUAAAUUUAAUAUUUCUACCUGUCUGUAAAAGAGUAUUGUAGUAAUCUCGCUGUAUGUGCUUCUUGCUGUUGAUGGGCGUGCUGCCAGAAAAGAAACAUUUAGGGAAUAUGCUAGAGAAGGGGUUCUCCAAGAUUGGCGAGAUCUGACUGUGAUGGCUGCAGACGACACACAUAGGAGAAUCUGAAGCACUCUUCCCUCAGGUUCUGUGACUACCCCACUGCAAACUUGGCCUCUGACCUGUGGCAAGAUGACUUUCUUCAGCUGCUCCUGAGUGAAGUGCUCCACGUAGGCCUCGAUGUGAGACAGCAGCACCAUCCGCACAUGCUCUUCAUGAACUUCAAACAACUGGAGAAGCACGGGGAUCACCCGUGACUGGAACAGGGCUGGUGAGACGUGCCUUUUGCCUUCUGCCAUGAUUUUAAGGAACUCCCCAGCCACGUGGAACUUUUGUAAAUUGCCCAGUCUUGGGUAUGUCUUCAUCAGCAGCGUGAAAACAGAGUAAUACAGUAAAUUGGUACCAGUAGAGUGGGGCGUUGCUGAAAAGAUACCUGAAAAUAUGGAAGGGACUUUGGAACUGGGUAACUGGCAAAGGCUGGAACAGUUUGGAGGGUUCAGAAGAAGACAGGAAAAUGUGGGAAAGUUUGGAAUUUCCUAGAGACUUGUUGAAUGGCUUUGACAAAAAUGCUGCUAGUGAUAUGAACAAUAAGGUCCAGGCUGAGGUGGUCUCAGAUGGAGAUGAGGAACUUGUUGGGAACUGGGGCAAAGGUGACUCUUGUUAUGUUUUAGCAGAGACUGGUGGCAUUUUGCCCCUGCCCUAAAGAACUGUGGAACUUUGAACUUAAGAGAGGAUUUAGGGUAUCUGGCGGAAGAAAUUUCUAAGCAGCAGAGCAUUCAAGAGGUGACUUGGGUGCUGUUAAAGGCAUUCAGUUUUAAAAGGAAAACAGAGCAUAAAAGCUUGGGAAGUUUGCAGCCUGACAAUGCAAUAGAAAAGAAAAUCUCAGGUGACAUUCAAGGCAGCUGCAGAAGUUUGCAUAAGUAAUGAGGGGCCAAAUGUUAAUCCCCAAGAAAAUGGGGAAAAUGUCUCCAGGGCAUGUCAGAGAUCUUCAUGGCAGCCCCUCCCAUCACAGGCCUGCAGGCCUAGGAGGAAAAAGUGGUUUCAUGGGCGAGGCCCAGGGUCCCCAUGCUGUGUGAAGCCUAGGGACUUGGUGCCCUGCAUCUCAGCCGCUCUAGCCAUGGCAGAAAGGGGCCAACGUAGAGCUCAGCAUGUGGCUUCAGAGGGUGCAAGCCCCAAGCCUUGGCAGCUUCACAUGGUGUUGAGCCUGCAAGUGCACAUUAGUCAAGAACUGGGGUUUGGGAACCUCCACCUAGAUUUCAGAAGAUGUAUGGAAAUGCCUGGAUGCCCAGGCAGAAUUUGCUGCAUGGGCAGGGCCCUUAUGGAGAACCUCUACUAGGGCAGUGUGAAAAGGAAAUGUGAGGUCGGUGCCCCCACACAGAGUUCCUACUGGAGCACUGCCUAAUGGAGCUGUGAGAAGGAGGCCAGCAUCCUCCAGAUCCCAGAAUGGUAGAUCCACUGACAGCUUGCACCACGUGCCUGGAAAAGCUGCAGACAUUCAAGACCAGCCUGUGAAAGCAGCCAGGAGGGAAACUGUACCCUGCAGAGCCACAGGGGUAGAAGCUGCCCAAGACCAUGGGAACCCACCGCUUGCAUCAGCGUGACCCGGAUGCGAGACACGGAAUCAAAGGAGAUCAUUUUGGAGCUUUAAGAUUUGACUGCCUCACUGGAUUUCACACUUGCCUGUAGCCCCUUUGUUUAGCUAAUUUCUCCCAUUUGGAAUGGCCGUAUUUACCCAAUGCCUGUACCCCCAUUGUAUCUAGGAAGUAACUAACUUGCUUCUGAUUUUACAGGCUCAUAGGUGGAAGGGACUUGCCUCAUCUCAGAUGAGACAUUGGACUAUGGACUUUUGAGUUAAUGCUGAAAUGAGUGAAGACUUUGGGGGACUGUUGAGAAGACAUGACUGGUUUUGAAAUGUGAGGACAUGAGACUGGGGAGGGGCCAGGGGAGGAAUGAUGUGGUUUGGCUGUGACUCUCAUCUUGGAUUGUAACUCCCACAAUUCCCAUGUGUCAUGGGCAGGAAUUCAGUGGGAGGUGAUUGAAUUAUGGAGGUAGAUCUCUCCUGUGCUGUUCUGGUAAUAGUGAGUAGGUCUCACAAGACCUGAUGGUUUUAUAAAAGGGAAUUUUCCUGCACAAGCUCUCUUCUCUUGUCUGCUGCCAUGUGAGAAGUGCCUUUCACCUUCCGCCAUGAUUGUGAGGCCUCCCCAGCCACAUGGAACUGUUAGUCCAAUAAACCUCUUUCUUUUGUAAA